rnacentral:rRNA from 1 species
AUUGAACGCUGGCGGCAUGCUUUACACAUGCAAGUCGAACGGUAACAGGCCGCAAGGUGCUGACGAGUGGCGAACGGGUGAGUAAUGCAUCGGAACGUGCCCAGUCGUGGGGGAUAACGCAGCGAAAGCUGUGCUAAUACCGCAUACGAUCUGUGGAUGAAAGCGGGGGACCGAAAGGCCUCGCGCGAUUGGAGCGGCCGAUGUCAGAUUAGGUAGUUGGUGGGGUAAAGGCUCACCAAGCCAACGAUCUGUAGCUGGUCUGAGAGGACGACCAGCCACACUGGGACUGAGACACGGCCCAGACUCCUACGGGAGGCAGCAGUGGGGAAUUUUGGACAAUGGGCGCAAGCCUGAUCCAGCAAUGCCGCGUGCAGGAAGAAGGCCUUCGGGUUGUAAACUGCUUUUGUACGGAGCGAAAAGGCUCUCUCUAAUACAGGGGGCUCAUGACGGUACCGUAAGAAUAAGCACCGGCUAACUACGUGCCAGCCGCCGCAGUAAUAC